UACGUAGGAUGCGAGCGUUGUCCGGAAUUACUGGGUGUAAAGGGAGCGCAGGCGGGACUGCAAGUUGGAUGUGAAAUGUCGAGGCUUAACCUCGGAACUGCAUCCAAAACUGUAGUUCUUGAGUGGAGUAGAGGCAAGCGGAAUUCCGAGUGUAGCGGUGAAAUGCGUAGAUAUUCGGAGGAACACCAGUGGCGAAGGCGGCUUGCUGGGCUCUAACUGACGCUGAGGCUCGAAAGUGUGGGGAG
rnacentral:rRNA from 1 species